UACAGGAGGGGCAAGCGUUAUCCGGAUUUACUGGGUUUAAAGGGUGCGUAGGUGGGUCUGUAAGUCAGUGGUGAAAUCUUCGAGCUUAACUCGGAAACUGCCAUUGAUACUAUAGGUCUUGAAUUAUCUGGAGGUAAGCGGAAUAUGUCAUGUAGCGGUGAAAUGCUUAGAUAUGACAUAGAACACCAAUUGCGAAGGCAGCUUACUACGGAUUGAUUGACACUGAGGCACGAAAGCGUGGGGAUCAAACAGG
rnacentral:rRNA from 1 species